CGGGGACGGGUGAGUAAUGUCUAGGGAAACUGCCUGAGGGAGGGGGAUAACUACUGGAAACGGUAGCUAAUACCGCAUAACGUCGCAAGACCAAAGAGGGGACCUUCGGGCCUCUUGCCAUCGGAUGUGCCCAGAUGGGAUUAGCUAGUAGGUGGGGUAACGGCUCACCUAGGCGACGAUCCCUAGCUGGUCUGAGAGGAUGACCAGCCACACUGGAACUGAGACACGGUCCAG
rnacentral:rRNA from 1 species